AUGGCUCAGGAUGAACGCUGGCGGCGUGCCUAAUACAUGCAAGUCGAACGAGGUAGCAAUACCGAGUGGCGAACGGGUGAGUAACACGUAGGUAACCUGCCCUUAAGCUUGGGAUACCCAGAGGAAACUUGGCUAAUACCGGAUAACAACAGAGAAGGCAUCUUCUUUGCUUGAAAGGCCCCUUCAAGGGUCACUUAAGGAUGGACCUGCGGCGCAUUAGCUAGUUGGUGAGAUAACAGCCCACCAAGGCGAGGAUGCGUAGCCGAACUGAGAGGUUGAUCGGCCACAUUGGAACUGAGACACGGUCCAAACUCCUACGGGAGGCAGCAGUAAGGAGUUUUCGGCAAUGGGGGAAACCCUGACCGAGCAACGCCGCGUGAGCGAUGACGGUCCUUUGGAUUUGUAAAGCUCUGUUGUAAGCCAUGAAUGACAGCUUGAGGAAAUGCAAGUUGUUUGACGACAGCUUACCAGAAAGCCACGGCUAACUACGUGCCAGCAGCAGC
rnacentral:rRNA from 1 species